rnacentral:misc_RNA from 1 species
AUUAAGAGUAUAAAAUAUAAUAAGCAAAAAAAAAGUUAAAUAAUCUGAAAUCAAUAUAAUAAUUCGAACCAAUAAUAAUGAGACUUAAAUUUACAGUUUUUUAAUAUUAAAAAUUUAAACCUUAAUUUUGUCUAUUUUAUGGGUGAUCAAGGCCUUGGAGUUGCAAUAGCAAGAAGAGGAAAUUUUCUAUGGAUGGUAAGACCAGGACAUUCAGUCAUGUCCAGAUCUUUCCCGCUGGCACCACAAGGCAAUACCCAGUUGAACUGGUUGACAAGAUUUGCCAAAACUAGCUCAUUUGUUGUCAUGGCAAAUAAAAUUCCAGGGCAGCCUCUCCUACCAGCUCCAAAUGGAAUCAGUUCGAAAUCAUGUCCUUUGAAAUCUAAACUGCUAUUCAAGAAUCGCUCAGGCCUAAAUUCCUCAGGUUGGUCCCAUCGCCCAGGGUCUCUCCCAAUCGCCCAUGCAUUGGUAAAUACCGUUGAACCAGCAACUACGUCGUAUCCUUUUAUUUUGACAUCUUGGGUCGAUACUCGUGGAACUAGUAAUGGAAUUGGAGGAUAUAACCUUAGAGUCUCUUUGAUCACUGCCUUCAGGAAAUUCAUUUGAUCCAAAUCACCUUCUGUUAUCUCUGCUUUGCCAUUGCCAAUUCUUCUUACCUCGUUUUGCACUUCCUUCAUCACUCUGGGGUGCCUCAGGAGCUCUGACAUUGCCCAUUCUAGCACUGUGUAAGUAGUAUCAGUUCCAGCAGCAAACAUAUCCAAGAUGAGGGCUUUAAUGUUAACUUUGGUCAUGGAAAAUCCGGCCAUGUUAUCCUCUUGAAGCUUAAGCAGAACAUCCACAAAAUUUUUCUUGUCUUCACUUUCUACAUUUCUAUGAUUAGCGUUGCUUCUUCUUUUUGCAGUAUCCAUAUGCUCUUCAACUACUUCAUCUAGAAAUGUAUCAAACUCUUUGGCAAUUUUCUCCACUUUCGCAUCAAAGCCGUUUAUAACAUUUACCCAACCAAGCCACGGGAUAAAGUCCCCCACAGUGAAAGUACCUAACAAUUCCGUGAACUCACCUAAUAACUCCUUAAACUUCUUCCCGCUCUUACCUUCACUGUACUUCCUUCCUAAAGCCACCCUGCAUACAAUAUCAUUUGUAAGAGAUGCAAAGGUUUCGCUCAAAUUAACUGGAGAUGACAAGUAAGCAGAUUCUUUGAUCUUCUUGGCAAAGAUGGCGAUUUCUUCUUCUCUUACACUUCGAAAUGAUUGCACCCUCUUGGUACUUAAAAGCUGAAGCACACAAAUGCUUCUCAUCUGCCUCCAAUACUCACCAUAAGGUGCUGUGGACACAUCCUGCCCUUCAUAGAGAAGUUUAUCGGCAAUGUUAAACUUUGGUCUGUUUGAGAAAGUGAGAUCAUGGGUUUUCAUGAUCUCCCUUGCAACAUCUGCAGAUGAGGCAACAAGAACAGGGAUGCUUCCAAAGCGGAGUUGCAUGAGAGGGCCAUAACAUUGAGCCAACGAGCGCAGGGAGCGGUGAGGAUACAAGCCUAGUUGGUGGAGGUUUCCAAGAAUUGGAAGCUUUGGUGGUGAAGGUGGGAGGUUUUUUUGUAUAGGAGGAUUCAAGAGCCAUUUAAGAACUAAAAAUG